UACGUAGGGUGCAAGCGUUGUCCGGAAUUAUUGGGCGUAAAGAGCUCGUAGGCGGUUCGUCGCGUCGGCUGUGAAAUCCCGAGGCUCAACCUCGGGUCUGCAGUCGAUACGGGCGGACUGGAGUACUGCAGGGGAGACUGGAAUUCCUGGUGUAGCGGUGAAAUGCGCAGAUAUCAGGAGGAACACCGGUGGCGAAGGCGGGUCUCUGGGCAGUUGCUGACACUGAGGCGCGACAGCGUGGGGAGCAAACAGG
rnacentral:rRNA from 1 species